AUGCUCAGGUAAAAUAUCAUCUUUGUGAGAAAUGUUUGCAUUCUGUGCUCAAAAAAAAUAUAGAAAAUGCCUUUCUAGGAUUUUUGUCUGCUAAAAUUUCUAAUGUCUGUCUACAGUAAGCACUUAAUAUAAACAUCUAUUUAAUUUAGAUACUCCUGAUUGAAGAAUUUCAAUAUAUUAUAUGAUCGCUUUGAACCAGGGUCUUAACUCAUUCUGUUGUGAGUUCUUCAUACACUUGGUUUUCAUCUUUCUUCUGGAUCUUUCUGGCUUUGCAGGAACUUGGUUAUACACAAUUA
rnacentral:misc_RNA from 1 species